GGCGACAUGGCCGAGUGGUCUAAGGCGCCGUCUUAAGGAGGUACCAGGGACGUCCUGACGGUAAUCCGGCGGUCUUCGGGCGUGGGUUCGAAUCCCACUGUCGUCA
rfam:Puccinia graminis f. sp. tritici CRL 75-36-700-3 supercont2.6 genomic scaffold, whole genome shotgun sequence.